UUCCCCCCUCACUUUUCUCUUAGCCGCCGCCCACCACCACGAAAGAAGCCCUUCAUCUUCUCUCUUCUCCUUCACCACAAACCACCACAUCACCCCCCACGACACUCCAAACACCCCUCCAUUCCGUCUCCCUCUCUCACCCACUGCCCGCUCCGGCGAACUCACGACGCCGGAGCAGUUAACCAGUCCGCAGCCAUGGCGAUACCUCCAUUUCCCUGGUAAAGGCCGCAAAUAAUAUUUCUGAGCCUCAAUACAUUGGUCGCUGCUGUUUCAGGCUCUGCUUGUCUAUUUGAUACCCACAGAGUUCGGAGUGUUGUACUUUGAUACAAGAAGCUGCUAUAAUUCGGGACAACAAUUAUCUACUGUUGUCGUUGCAAGUAUUGAGGAAGAUUGUCGUCAUUUUCUUGAGCUAAAAGUGUCAUAUUCCAUCACGAACAGUUGUUUCAUUUGGCGAGAAUGGCUGCUGUGUGUUUGCUGCAUUUUAUGAGGCAAAACAGAUGCUAUAAUUGAUGUCCCAAUGCUACAGUUAAGAUGAAACAACUGCUGCAUAUCAAGAUGGUUGGGUAGUUUAUGAACCAAUUUUCUGGUAAACAUUUUGAGGGAAUGUGCUGAACUUUAAGCUGUUGUUUGCUGCUAUAUUCCGACUCAUCUCUGCGGUAUUUCGGGUCAACUCAUGGCCUCAUAUUGAUGAAAAUAGUGACUGUCCUUUCAAAGUUUUAAUGCUAUCCUUGGUGCCACUUGUGAUUGCCUACGGUUUCUUUUAUUACCGCAUUUUUGCUGUUAUCUAACAGCUGUUGUCUGUGGCUGCCUAUUGUUACUGCUUUUUGCUGGAAAAACGAACAGAUUACUACACUUGAUAAAGGUUCACUGAUUGAAUAGGAUACAACAUUGGCCGAUGAAGAAAUUUCCGUCGAUUUCCAAGGCCUUCCAUGUAUAAAGACGGGUUUUUAUUUUAAGUUUAUUCAUUAUUUCUUUAAUUCAUCCGAUAGUUAUUUA